rnacentral:tRNA from 1 species
UGCCCGGUCGUCCAACGGCAGGAUCCCUGAAUACGGAUCAGGAAAUGGAGGUUCGAAUCCUCUCCGGGUGACCA